GCCUAGCGGUGGCGGGUGGAAAAAGUCCAGGAGUGGCGGGCAAGGCUUCCACGGACGUCCGCUACCGACCUCCUGCCAUUGCUAGAACGCUAUCAGUGGCAGACGCACGCCCGUGACUGUUAGGGCAGGAGCAGUGGCGGGCCGUAGUUCUUGCCCGCCACAUCACCGUGUGUUGCCCGUCACAGGAUUUGCGCACAGAUGUGGUAUAAAAGCAUUAAAAAGAUGAAUUCCUGCAUCUCUUCAUUGAAGAGUAAAGAUCAACCUAUCUUCAACUUGUGGGAUGCGCAAGUAUUCGUCUUCAAGUGGUAGCGUGGAUGCUCUUAUUAUAUUUAUCCAUCCUUUGAUUUUCAUGGUUUCUUCACUUUGACAUAUCAUGUAUUUACCAGGGUAACUCAUCGGGAUUGGUUGUAAGCUAACCACAUGCAAACCACCUUUGAUAAAUAUCACUUUAGGCAUGGUCUCUCACGGGAGUACCUGUUGAAGAACAUAAGUAAUAAUAACAUAGUUAGCAAGCUAGUUUUGCUUAAGAAGAAUGUAUGAAAAAGAUGUACCAGUGACACAAUAGUAAAAAAAUCUUACAAAGUAGUUUGAAGUGAUGUUAGAAUGGUUCAACUUGUGCACUAGUGGCACAUAUUCAUGAUAA